UUUUAUGGAGAGUUUGAUCCUGGCUCAGGAUGAACGCUGGCGGCGUGCCUAAUACAUGCAAGUCGAGCGAACGGACGAGAAGCUUGCUUCUCUGAUGUUAGCGGCGGACGGGUGAGUAACACGUGGAUAACCUACCUAUAAGACUGGGAUAACUUCGGGAAACCGGAGCUAAUACCGGAUAAUAUUUUGAACCGCAUGGUUCAAAAGUGAAAGACGGUCUUGCUGUCACUUAUAGAUGGAUCCGCGCUGCAUUAGCUAGUUGGUAAGGUAACGGCUUACCAAGGCAACGAUGCAUAGCCGACCUGAGAGGGUGAUCGGCCACACUGGAACUGAGACACGGUCCAGACUCCUACGGGAGGCAGCAGUAGGGAAUCUUCCGCAAUGGGCGAAAGCCUGACGGAGCAACGCCGCGUGAGUGAUGAAGGUCUUCGGAUCGUAAAACUCUGUUAUUAGGGAAGAACAUAUGUGUAAGUAACUGUGCACAUCUUGACGGUACCUAAUCAGAAAGCCACGGCUAACUACGUGCCAGCAGCCGCGGUAAUACGUAGGUGGCAAGCGUUAUCCGGAAUUAUUGGGCGUAAAGCGCGCGUAGGCGGUUUUUUAAGUCUGAUGUGAAAGCCCACGGCUCAACAGUGGAGGGUCAUUGGAAACUGGAAAACUUGAG
rnacentral:rRNA from 1 species